UACGGGGGGGGUAAGCGUUGUUCGGAAUUACUGGGCGUAAAGGGCUCGUAGGCGGCCAACUAAGUCAUACGUGAAAUCCCUCAGCUUAACUGGGGAACUGCGUCCGAUACUGGCGGGCUUGAAUCCGGGAGAGGGAUGCGGAAUUCCAGGUGUAGCGGUGAAAUGCGUAGAUAUCUGGAGGAACACCGGUGGCGAAGGCGGCAUCCUGGACCGGCAUUGACGCUGAGGCGCGAAAGCUAGGGGAGCAAACGGG
rnacentral:rRNA from 1 species